rnacentral:rRNA from 1 species
GACGAACGCUGGCGGCGUGCUUAACACAUGCAAGUCGAACGGAAAGGCCCUGCUUUUGUGGGGUGCUCGAGUGGCGAACGGGUGAGUAACACGUGAGUAACCUGCCCUUGACUUUGGGAUAACUUCAGGAAACUGGGGCUAAUACCGGAUAGGAGCUCCUGCUGCAUGGUGGGGGUUGGAAAGUUUCGGCGGUUGGGGAUGGACUCGCGGCUUAUCAGCUUGUUGGUGUGGUAGUGGCUUACCAAGGCUUUGACGGGUAGCCGGCCUGAGAGGGCGACCGGCCACAUUGGGACUGAGAUACGGCCCAGACUCCUACGGGAGGCAGCAGUGGGGAAUAUUGCACAAUGGGCGGAAGCCUGAUGCAGCAACGCCGCGUGCGGGAUGACGGCCUUCGGGUUGUAAACCGCUUUCGCCUGUGACGAAGCGUGAGUGACGGUAAUGGGUAAAGAAGCACCGGCUAACUACGUG